rnacentral:tRNA from 1 species
GGAGGGAUGACCGAGAGGCCGAAGGUGAUCGCCUGCUAAGCGAUUAGGGGCCGUAAACGCUCCUCGAGGGUUCAAAUCCCUCUCCCUCCGCCA